rnacentral:rRNA from 1 species
CGAGAUGAGUUCUCCCUGACUCCUUGAGAGUCCUGAAGGAACGUUGAAGACGACGACGUUGAUAGGCCGGGUGUGUAAGCGCAGCGAUGCGUUGAGCUAACCGGUACUAAUGAACCGUGAGGCUUAAAAUU